rnacentral:rRNA from 1 species
CGCUGGCGGCAGGCCUAACACAUGCAAGUCGAGCGGCAGCGACUUAACUGAACCUUCGGGGGACGCUAAGGGCGGCGAGCGGCGGACGGGUGAGUAAUGCCUGGGAAUAUGCCCUGAUGUGGGGGAUAACUAUUGGAAACGAUAGCUAAUACCGCAUAAUCUCUUCGGAGCAAAGAGGGGGACCUUCGGGCCUCUCGCGUCAGGAUUAGCCCAGGUGGGAUUAGCUAGUUGGUGGGGUAACGGCUCACCAAGGCGACGAUCCCUAGCUGGUCUGAGAGGAUGAUCAGCCACACUGGAACUGAGACACGGUCCAGACUCCUACGGGAGGCAGCAGUGGGGAAUAUUGCACAAUGGGGGAAACCCUGAUGCAGCCAUGCCGCGUGUGUGAAGAAGGCCUUCGGGUUGUAAAGCACUUUCAGUCGUGAGGAAGGCAGUGUUGUUAAUAGCAGCAUUGUUUGACGUUAGCGACAGAAGAAGCACCGGCUAACUCCGUGCCAGCAGCCGCGGUAAUACGGAGGGUGCGAGCGUUAAUCGGAAUUACUGGGCGUAAAGCGCAUGCA